rnacentral:rRNA from 1 species
UACGGGGGGGGCAAGCGUUGUUCGGAAUUACUGGGCGUAAAGGGCUCGUAGGCGGCCAACUAAGUCAGACGUGAAAUCCCUCGGCUUAACCGGGGAACUGCGUCUGAUAGUGCAUGGCUUGAGGUUGGGAGAGGGAUGCGGAAUUCCAGGUGUAGCGGUGAAAUUCGUAGAUAUCGGGAGGAACACCUGUGGCGAAGGCGGCCAUCUGGACAGUCACUGACACUGAGACGCGAAAGCGUGGGUAGCAAACAGG